rnacentral:rRNA from 1 species
UACAGAGGUCUCAGGCGUUGUUCGGAAUCACUGGGCGUAAAGGGUGCGUAGGCCGCACGGUAAGUCAGAGGUGAAAUCCCGGAGCUCAACUUCGGAAUUGCCUCCGAUACUGCCGUGCUUGAGGACUGGAGAGGAGAUUGGAAUUCACAGUGGAGCAGUGAAAUGCGUAGAUAUUGUGAGGAACACUAGUGGCGAAGGCGAAUCUCUGGACAGUUCCUGACGCUGAGGCACGAAGGCCAGGGGAGCAAACGGG